rnacentral:rRNA from 1 species
UCGAGAGGUGUAAGACCUCGGCAUACUGCUCAGUAACACGUGGUUAACCUGCCCUAAGGUGGAGAAUACUCCCGGGAAACUGGGGCUAAUGCUCCAUAGUGGAUAUAUCCUGGAAUGGUAUAUCCUCGAAAGAUCCGUCGCCUUAGGAUGGGACUGCGUCCGAUUAGGUUGUUGGCGGGGUAACGGCCCACCAAGCCUUUUAUCGGUACGGGUUGUGGGAGCAAGAUCCCGGAGAUGGAUUCUGAGACAUGAAUCCAGGCCCUACGGGGCGCAGCAGGCGCGCAAACUUUACAAUGCGAGCAAUCGUGAUAAGGAAACCCUGAGUGCCUGUCGAUGCAGGCUGUUCAUAUAUCUAAAUUAUAUGUGAAGAAAGGGCAGGGCAAGACCGGUGCCAGCCGCCGCGGUAAUACCGGCUGCUCGAGUGAUGGCCACUAUUACUGGGUUUAAAGCGUCCGUAGCUUGACUGUUAGGUCUCUUGGGAAAUCUUCGCGCUCAACGUGAAGGCGUCUAAGAGAUACCGGCAGACUUGGAACUGGGAGAGGUAAACCGUACUUCGGGGGUAGGAGUGAAAUCUUGUAAUCCUCGAGGGACGACCUAUGGCGAAGGCAGUUUACCAGAACAGCUUCGACAGUGAGGGACGAAAGCCGGGGGAGCAAACGGGAUUAGAUACCCCGGUAGUCCCAGCCGUAAACAAUGUGCGUUAGGUGUGUCGGUAACCACGUGUUACUGAUGCGCCGAAGAGAAAUCGUGAAACGCACCACCUGGGAAGUACGGUCGCAAGGCUGAAACUUAA